rnacentral:tRNA from 1 species
GGACCCUUAGCUCAGCUGGUUAGAGCACCCGACUUUUAAUCGGGUUGUCCUGAGUUCAAAUCUCAGAGGGUUCA